ACUCCUACGGGAGGCAGCAGUGGGGAAUAUUGCACAAUGGGGGAAACCCUGAUGCAGCCAUGCCGCGUGUGUGAAGAAGGCCUUCGGGUUGUAAAGCACUUUCAGUAGGGAGGAAGGUAGUGUAGUUAACACCUGCAUUAUUUGACGUUACCUACAGAAGAAGCACCGGCUAACUCCGUGCCAGCAGCCGCGGUAAUACGGAGGGUGCGAGCGUUAAUCGGAAUUACUGGGCGUAAAGCGCAUGCAGGCGGCCUGUUAAGUCAGAUGUGAAAGCCCGGGGGCUUAACCUCGGAAUUGCAUUUGAAACUGGCGGGCUAGAGUCUUGUAGAGGGGGGUAGAAUUUCAGGUGUAGCGGUGAAAUGCGUAGAGAUCUGAAGGAAUACCAGUGGCGAAGGCGGCCCCCCUGGACAAAGACUGACGCUCAGAUGCGAAAGCGUGGGGAGCAAACAGGAUUAGAUACCCUGGUAGGAUAGCG
rnacentral:rRNA from 1 species